CCCGGCCUGCUGCUGGCUUCUUAUUUCAGCAUGUACUGUCUCUUUACUUAAACAUUACUACUACUGUUUUUCCAGCUGAAGCAACCUAGAGCUGUUUUUCACUCCUUUCUAGGAAUAUACUUUAUCUUCCUUCAAUAAACUCUGCUACUUAACCCUUGCUAUGCGUAUCUUGGCUGAAUUAUUUCUUCCAAGUUAGACUAGAACUGAGGAUUCCCACACUUCCUGGUAACACAUUGACAUAAAGAGACUACGUGGUUCGAGAAGCCAAGAAACAGCAGUGUUCCAGACGUUCAGGGCAGCAACAGAAACAGUAUUGCUUAGCCACCAUUAAAAGAGAUGACAGGGCUAGGCAUAGCGACUCACGCCUGUAAUCCCAGCACUUUGGGAGACCGAGGUGGGCAGAUCACUUGAGGUCAGGAGUUCGAGACCAGCCUGGCCAACAUGAUGAAACCCCGUAUCUACUAAAAAUAAAAAAAUUAGCUGGGCGUGGUGGCGGGCGCCUGUAGUCCCAGCUACUCCAGAGGCUGAGGCAGGAGAAUUGCUUGAAUUCAGGAGGCGGAGGUUGCAGUGAGCUGAGAUGGCACCACUGCACUCCAGCCUGGGUGACAGAGGGAGACUCCUUCUCAAAAAAAAAAAAAAGAAAAAAGAAAUGACAGUUAUACUAAGGGACUGGCUACACGGCUGGGAUAGUUGAGGAGGAGCUGGUUUCCUAGGAGAUGGUUUCUUCAUGAUAUGGAGCUUCUCUAAAGUCACUACCAAGGCAGCUAUUUCUUUUUUUUUUUGAGACGGAGUUUCACUCUUGUUGCCCAGGCUGGAGUGCAAUGGCACAAUCUCGGCUUACCUCAACCUCCGCCUCCCGAGUUCAAGUGAUUCUCCUGACUCAGCCUCCUGAGUAGCUGGGAUUACAGGCAUGUGCCACCACUUUUGGUCAGGUCUAGAGGUAGUUCCUCAUGAUCUGGAAGCCUUAGUUCAAAUGUCAAUGCAUCCACUAUAUAAUGCAAGGGAAAAUAGAAUGUCAGUAGUCCACAGCUCUGUCUUAUCCUGCUGGAGAGGAAUAAUGAUAGCUCCUGGUCCUAGUUGUGUGCGUUUC
rnacentral:lncRNA from 10 species